GGAAACAGAUGAGAUAAUUUCAGGUACCAUAGCUACGGUCCCCUGCAUCUCCAAGGCCCGGAAUUAUGAACCUUACUCUAAAUGACAAAGGCUU